rnacentral:rRNA from 1 species
GACGAACGCUGGCGGCGUGCUUCAUACAUGCAAGUCGAACGAGAAGCUGACUUCGGUCAGUGGAAAGUGGCGGACGGGUGAGUAAUAUGUAGGAAAUCUGCCUUUAGGAGGGGGACAACAGAGGGAAACUUCUGCUAAUACCCCAUAUGAGCGUAGCUGAAAUGCUAUUCUUGAAAACUCCGGUGCCUAAAGAUGAGCCUGCAUCUGAUUAGCUAGUUGGUAGUGUAAUGGACUACCAAGGCGACGAUCAGUAGCUGGUUUGAGAGGAUGAUCAGCCACAAUGGGACUGAGACACGGCCCAUACUCCUACGGGAGGCAGCAGUAGGGAAUUUUGCGCAAUGGCGAAAGCCUGACGCAGCAACGCCGCGUGAACGAUUAAGCCCUUCGGGGUGUAAAGUUCUGUCAGUGGGGACGAAACUUGACGGUACCCACAGAGGAAGCACCGGCUAACUCCGUG